GGCCUUGGUGGCGGAGUGGUUAACCGUCGCAGGCAGCCUUCGUGGACUCUAUCCACGUAAGGUCGCUGGUUCGAAUCCAGCCAGGGCCG